GCUGGGCACAGUGGCAUGUGCCUGUAGUCCCAGCUACUCAGGAGGCUGAGGCUGGAGGAUCACUUGAGUCCGGGAGUUCUGGGCUGUAGUGCGCUAUGCCAAUCGGGUGUUCGAACUAAGUUUGGCAUCAAUAUGGUGACCUCCCAGGACCAGGGGACCACUCAGGUUGCCGAAGAAGGGGUGAACUGGCCCAGGUCAGAAACAGAGCAGGUCUAAACUCAUGUGCUGAUCAGUAGUGGGAUUGCGCCUGUGAAUAGCCACUGCACUCCAGCCUGAGCAAAAUAUCGAGACCCCGUCUCU
ensembl:misc_RNA Metazoa_SRP Metazoan signal recognition particle RNA